AUUUUCUAGCAAUGAUUUUUUUUAAAUUAAGGGAUCUCCAACUUCCAGGCCGUAGACUGAAAGCAGUUCACAGCCAGUUAGGAACCAGUCUGCACAGCAGGAGGUGAAUGACUAUUUUUGUAGUUAAGGAAAAUGGAAAGGUACAAAUUAUUCUAAAAUUUUCUAGAGAAUAAAAUGCCUAAUUAAUGAGAAUAAGUGAUAGGA
rnacentral:lncRNA from 13 species